AACGGCAGCACGGGGGCAACCCUGGUGGCGAGUGGCGAACGGGUGAGUAAUACAUCGGAACGUGUCCUGUAGUGGGGGAUAGCCCGGCGAAAGCCGGAUUAAUACCGCAUACGAUCUACGGAAGAAAGCGGGGGAUCGCAAGACCUCGCGCUAUAGGGGCGGCCGAUGGCAGAUUAGCUAGUUGGUGGGGUAAAGGCCUACCAAGGCGACGAUCUGUAGCUGGUCUGAGAGGACGACCAGCCACACUGGGACUGAGACACGGCCCAGACUCCUACGGGAGGCAGCAGUGGGGAAUUUUGGACAAUGGGGGAAACCCUGAUCCAGCAAUGCCGCGUGUGUGAAGAAGGCCUUCGGGUUGUAAAGCACUUUUGUCCGGAAAGAAAACCUUUGGGCUAAUACCCUGAGGGGAUGACGGUACCGGAAGAAUAAGCACCGGCUAACUACGUGCCA
rnacentral:rRNA from 2 species